rnacentral:lncRNA from 1 species
GGGAAGAAGGGAAUGGCUGGCUGGCUGUGUGCACUCGUUAACCCUCCUCAACCCAUAUUAACGUGAUUGCGUGGUUAACGGCAUGUUGGUCGGUUUUUCUGGAUUCAAGUUCGUUCCUAUUUCGCAACGAAAGGCCAUGGUUGUUUUGCUGCAUGCUGAUGCAUAACAGACGCAUGAUAAGCAUCUGCCCUUUUCGACUGGAAUAUCGUGGGAAUUCGUUGGUUUGGAUGAUCAUGUAUGCGGCCACAAAGAUUGUGCCCGAUCGCUCGGCUUGUUGGGGUGCCGUACGCUGGAUGCAGGAGACACAUACGACAGCUGGUAUUACGGCAUGGGCGCUUGGGCUUGGGUUGCUAUACGUGCUGACAAUUAGUUUGAUGCUCGCCCCAGGGCUGGCUGGACAGUAAGCGCUAGAAAAACAGCGUGCUUAACACGACUCCGCAUUAAACCCGUAAGCAUGAGUCCUCGAGUUGUAGUCCAACUGGAACCUUUGACGUGAGGCGAUAACUGCUGAUUGAGGUACCAUCUGCAUUGACGUUUUGUAACGUGAGAUCCCAGCGCAGACGCGGUGAUAUAUGCAGGGUACAGAUGACGGUCAUCUGCAUUCGUCUCUCCCACUCUAAGGAACAGCCGUACGUGAACAGCUAGGAGAAGGAAGCUAGGAGAAGGAAGGGGGUGGCGCCGCCACCGCCACCACGGCCCGCGGCAGNNNNNNNNNNNNNNNNNNNNNNNNNNNNNNNNNNNNNNNNNNNNNNNNNNAUGACGCCGGGCACACGCCAAGAGAAGACGUUCAGCUUAACUCCAGUCUAUGUUGGAUUAUGCCCCCACCCUUGGGAGGAAGAUGUGUAUGUCGGCGCUAAGGCGGCAAUAAUGCCUAACGGUGUUUGUGUGUGCGAUUUCCCCUUGACCCGUCUAUAAUACGUUCGUGGGACCGCCCGCAGUCACUUCAGGCGGCUCCACGCCGGGUGGUUUGGGCGGGGGGGGGGAAACUAGAGUUAGGCGGUAGGGAUGAGAAGGAGAGGAGAAUGCGCGCAGGGCGCGGGUGGCUGGGGCGGUGAAGCGGGCGGCACAGGAAGGGGAACAGUGGUACAUACUCUAGCUGCUGCCCUCGUUGCUGACGUGCGCCCAGCUACUUUGGCUGUGUACGGUGGACGAGCGCUUAGGCUUCAGUUAUUGGCAGAGUACAGGGGGAUUCUACGGUGGCCUUUGGAGGGGGAGUUAAAGGUAGCAGUGACUGGACGAUAAGAUACUUCAGAAGCGAGCAGUUUCUACCAGAUGGGAGGGAAAUCCUCGUCACGGCUCUAGCGCAGGAUGCUAUGACUAUGUGACGAUGGUGAAUUACAAUGAUGCUUUGUGCAGUGCUUUUUGACGACGCGUGUGCUGGUCAAAGAUAUUUCGCUUGUCCGGUGGAAAUUGGAGCUAAAAGCCAAUUGUGGCAAGCCCACGGGGGACAGGAGAGGGGCGGCGUUGUAUGUGUCGUUUAAUGUCGUCUUGCUGUUUGUUGACUGUUUAUCUUCGUGUGAUGGUCGCCCCGUUAUCAUUGCGUUUGGUGUGCGCGGUGAUUCAUGCGGGUGACCUGCAAAGAACUUUCAUUUACGAUUAUGCAUUUUUGUCUCGCGAAUCUGGGAUUCCGAAACAAAUGCAGCGAAAGCGUUGAACACGAUUUCCUGCUAUAUCUCGCAGCGGCGAGGCUGUAACGACGCAAGGCCCAACUGAGCAUCCCGGGUUACGCCUUUGCUUUGUUACAAUGGUAUCGAGACGGAGCCGCACGACUUCCGAUGAAAUCUUCGGGUCGGUGGUUCGAUUCUGACAACAAGCAGGUAUCGCAGAAAGCGAUAUCAUGGGUAAUGGAUAAACCAGCGCACAAUGCGUGAGGUGGGAUGGCUCCAAUGCUCGAUAUAAUGGCCGCGGACGUCCAUUGCUAAAGGGGGGGCAAUGUAACGACGCAAGGCCCAACUGAGCAUCCCGGGUUACGCCUUUGCUUUGUUACAGAGGCUGCCUUUUCGGAUUUGCUGUACGACGCGGGUACAGGCGUGAUGGUGACUCAUUUCGCAUACACACAGGCUUACAACCCAUCUUUGACCUAUAGACCUUGUCAUCUAUCCUGUAUCAAAACAUUUAUGUCUCACUGUCAAUAGCGAAGACUUUUUCCUUUGGACUUGACUAUCCUUUGUGAGCGCCGUGCAAGUGAGCAAGGGUUUGUCCAUACCAGCUCGCCUCAGGCUUUUUUUCCAGCAUACAACCGCGGCACGGGAAAGGCGCGGGCACAGUUUCUCUUUUCAAAGUCCUUUCCCUUGGCCUUUUACUGCCGGGGAACAACCUAAGGAAGCGAGCGAUCAGGAAAGAUGAGGCGCGCGCUCGGUCAAGCCUUUAAAGUUGCGGCAGGCGCCCGUGAUUCGCAGGUGCGCGGUCCAUAUUCCGAAACAGGAAUCUUUCCGUCGUAGCUGCUCAGCAAAGGCCUUGCGCAGCAGCUCCCUGGCCCUCGGUCCGCCGUCACGGCCACGAGUCCUCACUUGGCAGGGAGCUUGACUUUGACCAUGCAAUGUAAACCAUUGAGAAGUGGGGAAAGAGGUCGUGGUCCCGAUGAAAAUUGCCGGUUCUACGUAUCCAUUUGUCCACAGAGUUUCCCGUAUCUUUUGCACUCGUAAUCCGCGUGUAUAUGUGCUUCUGUGUUUGUUACAUGUUUACGAGUCCGAUUCACCCUUCCCGCCUCCUGCAGGCGCUACUACCCAGCUUUCGAGCCCCGGGCCCAACAGCCACCCCGCUGGGCUUGUCCCCGACCGAGGCCUGGCGGCGGCCGGCCACCACCACUACUGCCACUGCCGGUGACGACAGCGACGGCCGCCACCACCACCCCGCCGUCGGCGACCUCCCUCGUACCCGCAGUGUACAUCAGGAGCAGCUGGCGGAGGGAAGCGACUUCGAAUCCACCGCCGCCACCGGACGGGCGGCCGUGUGGCCCGCGAGAUCUCCCGACGCGCCGCCCGAUCCCGCCACACGACGCAGCGGGCGGGAGACGAUGCCGGAUGAGCGGGCGGAGGAGGAGGAGGCGUGGAUGACCAUCCGUCAUGGCUCCGGAAAAUCGGCGGAGGCCAUUUUGGCAGGGUGGGUGUGCAGUAUAAGGGGUUGCGGGUGAGGGAGGGGAUGGGGGGGAGUGCAGGGUGAGGUGUAAGCCCGCGCCGGCUGUCCCUUUCCUCCCCGCUCCUCCGUAUCACCCCUCCCCAGGUGUUGUGAUGGUGGGUUUAGGCGGAGUUGGGCCCUACAGUACAAAAAGCACCAGUCAGGCUCCCACUCUCAGCCUCGUCAGGUCUCACAUUCCUGGACAGCAACCAACCCUCAGGCCGCAGGCCACCACAAAUGGAGAGCGGGGGAGGGGGGACUUCACCAGAACGCUCAUUUACAGCACUAGCGCCAACAUGUCCAUGAAGGGCUUGUCCCUCGGCAGGCGGGCAACAUGCAUAGUGAUAACACUCGGCAGUUACACGUUCCAGCCUGUUGGGCCUGCGAUUGUGCAGCCCUGUGUGACAGCACACUCUUUCUCUACCAUAAAGGGGCGGUUCAGUGUUCUGCAUGACAUACACCCUCUUGCUGCCUGAGGGGUGUGACUUCUGGCUUGAUUCAGCUUGAAGUUGCUUCGUCACUUUGCUGCUCUGCACCCCUUCGUUGUGAUCCUGCAUGCAUUGCAACUGUGUGACAGCGGCUGGUUGUUUAAUGUGUAUGCGCCUUGUGGGCAUGAUGGGCUAUCCUUGUGCAGGCCUGCCAGCUUGUAAGCUGCAGCUCCGACAAGACUUGCAGAACGAGGACUUGUUCUUCUUUGAGCCCAUGGACGUCGUCAGCGCUGCAGCUGCCACAAGUGCUGGCGUGAGCAGCAUGUUCUUCCUGGACCCCAAGGGCAGGCAGAUAGCUGAGCUGAAGAAGUGGCUGGACCUUGCCGAGGAUGAGUACUGUAUGGGGAGACCCAUCCGGCCGUUGUUCAUCAACGGUCUGGUCAAGGUGGGAUAUAACGGCCUGACCAAGGACGGAGAGCUCCUUGUGCAGCUUGUGUCCAACCCACAUGGAACAGGGUUUGGAGUGAGAAGAUUAGGCGUGGUAGAUGGGUGAUGCAUGCAGCUUUGUGCACUGUUGAGUAAUACACAGCUGAGCGACCAAGGGGAAUGCACGCUUACCUAGCCAUCUUGCGCCCCAUAUUGUGCCCGUUGUGCAGAGUGGCAAGUCCUACAUGCUCAACGAGGUUCUGCCUGCUGUGGCCAACACCUACUACAGCAGCGGCGGCAGUGGCCGGCAGCACGCUGGCACGGUGCUUUCAGAGCCCAACUUCCUGCGCGUGAACUGCUUGGGCUGUGAUCGCAGCAGCGGCAUCAGUGGCUUCCUUAAGGAAUUCCUCGCUGUACUCAAGGAGAGUGCCGCCGACCAGCGGCUCUCUGCUGCCGCCAGCACGCCUGCACCCAGCGACAACUCGGUUGUCACCGCAGCAGGUGCCAUUCGGAACUUCAUGUGGCGCCUGCCACGGGACCGCCUGAACUUCCUGCUGAUUGACGAGGCGCAGAGCUUUUACCUGCUUGAGCGGGCCAUGCCGGGCGAAAAGUCGCCCGGCAAAAGUCCGCGGCGAAAAGUCGCUGCACGCGGCUCAACACUGGACGUGGAUGCAGUGCAGCACAUGCGGCGGUAAAUCAGCGCAAGGUUUCCCUAACCGUGUCGUGUGAUCACAUGGGCGAGGAUGAGGGGCAAUGGCCAGUGAAACGCGCCCAGGCGGAGAUUUACACGAGGGGGCAGAAGGCACUAAGGGGAGAUCGCUGCGAGAUUCAAUUGUAUAACAUAAGCAUAUUGCACAAGGGGCAAAGGUCUGCACUCAUGCCUACAGCAGGCGUACGACACAAAGGAGCUGACACAUGCACCAUUUUCCUUCCCUCAACUGUCGUGUGUACUGCAGCAUCUUCAAGGAACUCCUGCUGGACAGCCCCCACUGGGUCGCCUGGGCCGUCACGGGCAGUUCCAUGGCGACGCUAUGGGCCAACGUUGCAGUCACCCCGGUGAGCAAUUGGUGUUGCAGCGGGGGGGGGUAGGCUCUUCUGGGGGGGUGCAUAUGCUUUAUGGGAUGGGCAUGGAGACAGGCAUUAUAGUGGGCAUGGUGCAGGUGGGCGUGAAGGUGCGCGCGGGUGCGAUAGAGCUCCUAGAGAGAAGACGCACGCGCUGACCCUCUCCUUGUCCCUUCGGGNNNNNNNNNNNNNNNNNNNNNNNNNNNNNNNNNNNNNNNNNNNNNNNNNNCAGCAGCAGCAGCAGCCGACUGGGGCGGCGGCGGCAGCGGCGGCGGGGGCUGCGAACACCCGUGGUGGCAAUGACUGCGCGCAUCAUCUCAACAAUCCUUCCAACACAGACAAGCUCAGUCUCCGAUAAUAGCUGCUAUUCUAGGAUUGCCUGUAGUGCAGGUGCGUCUAUCUGCCUGAUCUGUCUGUCUGUCUGUCUGUCUGUCUGUCUGUCUGUCUUUGUAUAUAUCCGCUGAUAGGUCGUUCUGCUGAGGGUGUUGCCCCCUGUUUUCUGUUGUUCAAGUAAACUGAAUCCCGGGGCUGAGGCGGGUUUGGGUCAGUGUUGUUCUUGGUGUUGGGACUUAGGGUUUUAUAAAAUGACAGCGGAAACCGCCAACUGUCAACUGCUAGUUGGAUGUUGUUGGGUUCCAGGCAAGGGGAUUGUGGGAGAGGGGGAAAGGCGAGAGAGGGUCCCUGGGGGGCUCCCUCCUUGAAGAAUUCGUUUGUGUGUGGGGGGGGGUGUAUGUGUGCGCGUGUGUAUGUGUGCGUGUGUGUGUGUGCGUCCUGUAGGGAUCUUGCUGGCUUGAUAAAUAUUGAGUAAAUGCCUCCUCGCCAAGGGAGGAGGAUGUUAUACACAUGUGAACAACGAACAGCAACGCACGAGGUCCUUGAGCAGCUACGUGAAAUUGUUUUUCUGUCUUUUAGCUGUCUUUUUCCCUUUCUCAAGCCGGUCUGCAGUAUUUCGGUGUUGGUGGUUGCUUGAGCAUGUCCCCCUAAAGGUGGCAUCUGUUGUCGCUUUUCCUGCGCCGUGUCGCCGACGGAUAGGCCGACGGAUACGCCGACACCACCCAUGCUGUGUGCUAUGUGCUAUCGAACCUGGACUUUGAUGCGACGUCUAAAAUGAGGCCUGGAAGGAGGGCUUUCAGUUUUAAGGCUUUGAUUUGACUGGGGGGUUUUAAGCAUCGAUGUGGUUGUUAAGCGCGAAAACGCACAGCUGAGUAGAACAAAAGAGUUAAAGUUUGGGGGAUGUCUUUUAGUGGCUUUUAGUGGCUGCGAGUCGCGCAAGGUUGAGGGGGGCUGCGUGCGAGAAUGAGGGGCGGCUGGGUCGUGAGAUUGAUGGGCAGAUGAGGCUGGUGGGGGAGCUAGAAACGAGACAGGGCGUGCAACGGUAUGGUUGGUGGUGGGGUGGGGAAGAAGGGAAUGGCUGGCUGGCUGUGUGCACUCGUUAACCCUCCUCAACCCAUAUUAACGUGAUUGCGUGGUUAACGGCAUGUUGGUCGGUUUUUCUGGAUUCAAGUUCGUUCCUAUUUCGCAACGAAAGGCCAUGGUUGUUUUGCUGCAUGCUGAUGCAUAACAGACGCAUGAUAAGCAUCUGCCCUUUUCGACUGGAAUAUCGUGGGAAUUCGUUGGUUUGGAUGAUCAUGUAUGCGGCCACAAAGAUUGUGCCCGAUCGCUCGGCUUGUUGGGGUGCCGUACGCUGGAUGCAGGAGACACAUACGACAGCUGGUAUUACGGCAUGGGCGCUUGGGCUUGGGUUGCUAUACGUGCUGACAAUUAGUUUGAUGCUCGCCCCAGGGCUGGCUGGACAGUAAGCGCUAGAAAAACAGCGUGCUUAACACGACUCCGCAUUAAACCCGUAAGCAUGAGUCCUCGAGUUGUAGUCCAACUGGAACCUUUGACGUGAGGCGAUAACUGCUGAUUGAGGUACCAUCUGCAUUGACGUUUUGUAACGUGAGAUCCCAG